rnacentral:rRNA from 1 species
UACGUAGGGUGCAAGCGUUGUCCGGAAUUAUUGGGCGUAAAGAGCUCGUAGGCGGCUUGUCGCGUCGGCUGUGAAAACCUGGGGCUCAACCCCGGGCCUGCAGCCGAUACGGGCAAGCUAGAAUUCGGUAGGGGAGUGUGGAAUUCCUGGUGGAGCGGUGAAAUGCGCAGAUAUCAGGAAGAACACCUAUGGCGAAGGCAGCUCUCUGGGACGGUACUGACGCUGAGACGCGAAAGCGUGGGGAGCGAACAGG